AUUGAACGCUGGCGGCAGGCCUAACACAUGCAAGUCGAGCGAGCGGCGGACGGGUGAGUAAUGUCUGGGAAACUGCCUGAUGGAGGGGGGUAACUACUGGAAACGGUAGCUAAUACCACAUACCAUCAGAUGUGCCCCGAUGGUAUUAGCUAGUAGGUUGGGUCACGGCUCACCUCGGCGACGAUCCCUAGCUGGUCUGCGAGGAUGACCAGCCACACUGGAACUGAGACACGGGCCAGACUCCUACGGGAGGCAGCAGUGGGGAAGAUUGCACAAUGGGCGCAAGCCUGAUGCAGCCAUGCCGCGUGUGUGAAGAAGGCCUUCGGGUUGUAAAGCACUUUCAGCGGGGAGGCGUUACCCGCAGAAGAAGCACCGGCUAACUCCGUGCCAGCAGCCGCGGUAAUUC
rnacentral:rRNA from 1 species